GAGCGGGUGUGGCGGGGACCCCGGGGGCGGCCCUGCCGCCGCUGCCCCGGGUGCCUGAAGCCGGGCCGUCAGCGGAGGCGGUGGCCCUGGGGCCGCUCCUGCAGGCGGGCAGCUCGCAGGGCUGGGAGCCCUCCGUCCCGCAGCCCUCCAGGAGGCAGCUCAGAGCCGCGGAAUUCAUCCCCGUGCUGGCAGCAAACGCCAGGGCAGCCCGCGAAGCCCCAGAGCUUUCCCCCGACGGCGAGUUGCUCGGCUGCAGCGGGCAGCGUGGAUUGCGCACCAAGCACCAGCGAGGCACUUAAUUGCUCUAAUAAAUCAUGGGCUGAAGCGAUGGAAAGGAGCUGAAACGCUGCAGCGGCUUCAGUUUGCUGUU